ACAAAAGCCCCAUUUGAGAGAGGCAAAGACUUGCAAAUCUGAUAACAUAGAGGGCCACUCUCAUCUAGAUAAACUAUCAAAUUAAGAAGGGAUAAUAAAAUAGAGCUGCCUUGCAAAUGCCAAGAUCACCAUCGGCAAUUAUCUGUUCUGAAAUAAAAAAGGAUAUUUAUACGUAGGUCAGAUGACUAGCAUGACAAAACUCAUUUGAUGUGGUGCCUCGUAUAUGCAAGCUUUAGAGAAUCUGAUCUGGAGAACGAUCUGAGAUGAAGGUUUCGCUCAUUUCACAUAGUGAAGCCAGAGUACGUCGCUCAAUCCUUGAAUCCGGAAGGAAAAUCUUCAUAUCAUCGAUGUUUUUUAUUAUUAUUGUCUUUUCUUUCAAUUCUAAUUUGGGCGAACCCAAUAAACUGCAUCUUAAGUCAUCCAUUUUGCGUCUCCAGAAGAUAUAUAGGAUAAGAAAAUAAUUACGAAAAUGCAAAUCAAAUCUGCUGGAAGAUAUGACAGGGGCCAUGCACUAAGCCAAGCUAAUUAAAACAAUCAAUCAAUCAAGAGUCCAAAUUUACCCUUACUUGAUGACUGGGAGAAUUUAACAGUUCGUAACCAGUUUUUCUCAAACCAUCACCACAAUUUCUAGAUCCAUAAUUGGCAAAGGCUGAAGAGAUUCAAUACUGUUCAACACUUCAUCAAUCCUGUAAAUCUGGACCACACACAAUCUAUAAGAAAACACAAACUAUAAGCAGAUACCUUGCCAGGAUUCAGGCAGUGUCCCUCAUGAGUUUAACUCCACUAUUCAUGGAUGAGAAUUAGGACAAAGAUAGAAAAAGGAAUCCAACCAGGAAAAAGAAUGAGAAGAAGAGGGAGAGAGAAUAAACAAUACUAGUCUGCAAUGGAACAGAGGAAAGGACAGAGAAGAGGUUUAUUUGUCUGUGGAACUAACUGAGGAUGCCAAUCAAAACUGGAACACAAAUAUCCAAAAUGAGAAGUUAUAUAGGCAGAUUCGCAAGCACAUAACAUUCACUAAGAAAAAUUGAACAAGGGGUUAGUUUUAGAUGAACUAUAAAAAAGAAACAUGAUGAUCAUAUCGAUAUUCGGGAUCCAAAGACCUCAACCAAUCUCCAAAAAGAAAGUUAUGGAUCCAAUAUAAUCAGCUGCAUAAAGCCAAGAUAACUGCUGAAAUUUAUAAAGGCAGUUGCAUGAGGAAAGGAGGAAUAAAGGUCAGUGACUUAUAAUAAGAGCUAUGACAUGCAUCUCCUUCUUAUCCCUCAAACGGCAUCAUGAUAUUGAUCGAUGGCUUGUUUCAUGGCAUCCAAUUGCGAAAGAACAUGCUCCAAUUUCUUACAACAGAUUUCAUUGGAAAUUCUAUAACUGUAAUCACACUUCUCAAAUGGACGGUACUCGCAUGCACUUUUGAUUUCAUCGCGUAGAGUGGACUGGAUGCCCUUGAUCAUAUGCAUGAACUCACUGCAAUGGUUGUUGAUGAAUUCUUUUCGAGGACCGGUGGGAUUGGCCAGCUCAUCCAUCACUCCUCCUGCCAGCUCCAAAACCCUAACUAUUUUCUUUUCCACAUCUUGAAGUCGCUGCAACGAUGUGGUCUGCGUCUGCGACGAAUCCAUUGAUGGAGUUGUCGACUUCACUUCAGCACCUCACUCGUCUGCAACUCCG
rnacentral:misc_RNA from 1 species